rnacentral:piRNA from 1 species
UGAUUAAGCCUACUGGAAAUUGACUCUGAA